GACGAACGCUGGCGGCGUGCCUAAUACAUGCAAGUUGAGCGCUGAAGGUUGGUACUUGUACCAACUGGAUGAGCAGCGAACGGGUGAGUAACGCGUGGGGAAUCUGCCUUUGAGCGGGGGACAACAUUUGGAAACGAAUGCUAAUACCGCAUAAAAACUUUAAACACAAGUUUUAAGUUUGAAAGAUGCAAUUGCAUCACUCAAAGAUGAUCCCGCGUUGUAUUAGCUAGUUGGUGAGGUAAAGGCUCACCAAGGCGAUGAUACAUAGCCGACCUGAGAGGGUGAUCGGCCACAUUGGGACUGAGACACGGCCCGAACUCCUACGGGAGGCAGCAGUAGGGAAUCUUCGGCAAUGGACGAAAGUCUGACCGAGCAACGCCGCGUGAGUGAAGAAGGGUUUCGGAUCGUAAAACUCUGUUGGUAGAGAAGAACGUUGGUGAGAGUGGAAAGCUCAUCAAGUGACGGUAACUACACAGAAAGGGACGGCUAACUACGUG
rnacentral:rRNA from 1 species